CUUCCGUUACGGUACCCAUUAUCACCAGACAUAAAUUAGGGUAUUUUCCCCCCAUUGUUCUCCCGAUUGUUAGCAAGCGUUGCAGAAGCCAUUCAAUCCCUUUGAUUCAUACCCGGAUGCGUUACGUUAGAACAAUACAUAAUCCUCAAUAAAGAUUUUGUUGCACGAUAUAUUUGGAGACGAACCAGUAUCAAUCUCAGGGUUCAUUGCAAUUCAACUUCGUUUAAUCGUUGACAUUACUGCUGUCGUUGGAGAAGACCCUUCAACUCUAUAAAACGAAGAACAACUUUAUGUGCAAUCACAAAUGUUUGUUUUUUGGUCUAGCACGGGAAGCUCAAGCUAUGUUAAUUUUAUAACAUUCUGGGUUGGAUUAGGGAGAAACAGACAAAAAGUACAGAGCGCCUCAAAUUGAGGCUCACAAAUCCCAGGACAGAAAGAGUACUGAAGAUUUGAGACCAGGCACAAUUUAGUCUUGGAUGCAUGUUUUACGCGACAUGUUCCGAGGCUUACUUGCGAAUCUAUAUCAUCACAAGCUUCCCAAUGGUGAUGUGCAUGUCAAACCAUGACCUCCAGGGAUUGAUUAGUAGUUAGUGAGUUGCCACGCCUAAUGCAGUUGUACGUUUUACUGUUAUUUAUCAGUCAGAAGUACUUUUUUGAUCUAAUUUUGAUCUCCAGGGAUUGAUUAGCAGACGUAAUGGAGCUGUUAAUGGAGAUCCUUUUCGGUAACGUAUAAUCAAAUAAAAAUUGAUUAGCAUAAAUUAUGGUGCCGGUAAUGGGAGAAUUGAUUGUGUAACGUAUGAAAAUUGAAGGGAGAAGCAAUCGAGGUGAAACCUAAAUCUGACUAUAUCGAAUCUAGGACGUUGGAUCAGGGCACAAAAGGUGGGUUCAUUCACAACCACGAUUUAUCUUUCCCACUUCUAGAGGAAUGGAAGCCUUCCAUUUAAGUAACACCCAACCAUUUAAGAAUAUUUUCAUGUCUUCAAUGAGAUAGAGGCUUUGAUCUAAUAUUGGAGGUUCAGUUGAGCUUAUAAUUUGAACCUGUGUUCACAUUUGGCAACUAUAUGUACUCUUUUGGUCGAGCCGUUCAAUCAUUGAUUGAACUGUCGACAGCAUAUUUCCAGGAAAUGAAAGAGAGCCAAUGGUUAACCUAGCAUGAUGCGCGACCUUACUCUUCAGAACCUUAGGUACAUUACCGAAUUAUUGUCAAAGCCAGUGCAAUUCGAAUGUUGGCUACCACCAAGUGGUAAUAUUUUGGCUGCAACAAGUGCGCACCACUACAGUGGUAGGUGAAGUCGGGAGCCAUGAAUGCACCAAAUGUGAAAACAAGGUCCUUCUUCGUUUUAAAGUGACAAACUAUAUCGGCAGUACCAUAUUGCGUCGCUGGACAGUGAAGUCCGAUGGAUCAUCCACCCCACUGCCUUGGACAUAGUCAGGAGGAAGAGGAAAGUGAAAGAUGGUUGCAGCUUUUGAUAAGAUCCUCCUGAAUGUUGAACUACCAGAUUGUGCUUGCCGUGUACAACGUGAAGAAGCAAACCACCCCCAUGAAGACCAACUUCCCCUCCAUCUACACUGCACCUUUGUAUAACUUGACCUAGAUGCGGAUGAUGAAACACUAACUGCGAAGACCCAGUUGUCCCCUAAAUGCCACCUCCACUUUGGUUUUAUAGUGAUGAAGACUAGCUUUGUAGUUCCAUUCCAAAAAAAUCAUACUUCUCUGCCAUACACUAAGGGUCAAUUUUAAUCAAUAACGAGCCCUAUGGUAGGUGAUUAAAGUUAAGGAGGGAUGACUUUAACAAAAGAUUAAUAAAAUGGUAGAAUCUGUCUACUCAAGUCAAGGUUGGUAACUCACCUCUCCAAUAAUAACUUGGCUCGCAAUGUUGUAAAUUGGGUUAUACGUGUAUCUGGAUAUGAAUUUAAGAAUUAUUGUUUUUGUU